rnacentral:rRNA from 1 species
CAGGAGAAAGCUUGCUUUCUUGCUGACGAGUGGCGGACGGGUGAGUAAUGCUUGGGAAUCUGGCUUAUGGAGGGGGAUAACGACGGGAAACUGUCGCUAAUACCGCGUAGAGUCGAGAGACGAAAGUGCGGGACCGCAAGGCCGCAUGCCAUAGGAUGAGCCCAAGUGGGAUUAGGUAGUUGGUGGGGUAAUAGCCUACCAAGCCGACGAUCUCUAGCUGGUCUGAGAGGAUGACCAGCCAGCACCGGGACUGAGACACGGCCCGGACUCCUACGGGAGGCAGCAGUGGGGAAUAUUGCGCAAUGGGGGCAACCCUGACGCAGCCAUGCCGCGUGAAUGAAGAAGGCCUUCGGGUUGUAAAGUUCUUUCGGUAUUGAGGAAGGUUGUUGUGUUAAUAGCACGACAAAUUGACGUUAAAUACAGAAGAAGCACCGGCUAACUCCGUGCCAGCA